GUACCUGAGUUUAAAAUAUUGAGGGAUUAUGAUAGGAUGAGGAUGGAAUUUUUUAAAAUGCUGUUUAUAGUUUUUAAAAAGUGACAUAGAGUAAGUAAAAGGAAUUACUUUAAAAAAAAUGAGUAAAUAUACAAUUUUCCAAUUUGGGACAAAUUGGUAGCCUUAAUAUUUAGAUCUGUUCUGUGAUAAAACUAAUGUUCUUUUUCUUCAUAGUUAUAUUUUAAUGUACGAUGCAUACCCACUCACGGGUGGUGGUUCCCCGGUAAGCGGCCCUGACAGCUUGGCUCAGCAGAGCUGAGAUGGGCAGAGUUAAGGAAGGCAUUUGACAGAUCACCCGAUCUGGGAUGGGAGACAUUUGUGCAUCGAUGUAGAUGGAAGCACGUGCCACCCAAGCUUUGCAUUCAUGUGCCAUCUGUGCAGUGAGGGCCAGUUGAACUGAUUCAAGACUCCAUGGGGGUGUGCAAGAUAAAUACAGUGAAAUAUACAAGCCGCAAAAUUAAAAGUCCAAAGUAAGAUCACUUUAUUUUCAGAAUGAUUUUAAUUAUAAUUCAGUAAUGUGGUAUGAAGAUUGGUUUACAGUUAAAUAACAUUUUUCUUGAUUCUCAUACUUAAAGAGUUUUUCUCAUACUAAUGUUGAUCUUUCAAUUUUAUUUCUCAGAAAUGAAUUAUAUAAUUUGAACAUGCAUACAUUUUUAUAUUUUUGGUGGGGAGAAAAAAGGCAAAACCAGUUAAUAAAAAAAACUGUACUUAUCACAUCUUAAAGAUUCAUACUUUACAGGAAGGAAAAUAUCAAAGACAACUUCUCUUUAAAAAAUACACAAUUCUAACAUAGCUGUGCAGUAUAUACAUUUUUAUUUUGACUUUAUCUGCCAAAAUCCAGUACAGAUGAAACCAUCAUUUUAUAUUUACAUAUGGCUAUAUUUUCAUUAUUUAAGGUUCAAAGAUGGAGUUAACAUUUUUAUUUCAAAUUUUACCCUCAUGUUUAUCUUUUACCUCUGGAUGUUUAGUCUUUCAAAUUGUUUAAAAUGUGUAUGGUUAAUGUACAUGAAGGGCAUAAUCCUGCAAAGUUAUGAAAGGGGAUAUUUUCUGUGUGCAAACUGAAAUAGCAAAGAUGGGCCAGGGUGCUCAGUUUGAGGGAUCCCCUUUCUGUUUAACGUCUUAAUUGAUGAGAUUUUUUUAAUAUAUUAACUUAUAGCUGUAUAUCAGAAUAGAUAAAUACAUUAUGAAAUUACACUUUUUAUAAUAGCUUUUAGUAUAAUCACUUGUGUGAUUAUGAUAAAUUGGUUUUAGUUUUCUUUUCACAGUUAAUAACUUCUGUUUUAUAAGAAGAACUGCGCCAGCUAGGAAAAAUUUCUUUCCAGUUGAGAGUUCUCCUUUUGCUCCUAAAAUGAAUGAUGUACAAUUUCAAGUUUCAAGGCAGCUUCCUCACAAACUACUAUUUUAUAAAUGGCUUGUGGGAGCUGUGCAUGAAGCAACUGUUUUUAAUCACAUUCUAUAGAUCUUAAUCUAUAUACCAUUUAUGAAAUGGAAACUUUAAGAUGGUAACUUAUAAGCCCCAUAUUAUACUUUUAAAACAAAAGUAGGGCUGAAUAGGAAUACAUAACUCUUUUUUUCAUGCAAUGGGCUUUUUCUUUUUCUUUAAUUUCUUGGAUAAAUACUCGCCUUUGCUUAAAAGUGCUUGAGAAAUACUCAGUAGAGCCACCACCUCAAGUUUUGAUCUGAUAACAGAAGUUGUGUAUUUAGGCCACUUGCUCUUGGUGUAGUGGGGUUCUCAGUGGGGGGGAUUCUGCUUCCUAGAAGGUGUGAUCCAAUGUCUGGAGGUAUUUUUUGAUUGUCACAAUGUCUGGUGGAUGCCAGGGCUGCAGAAGGUCCUACAACACCCAGGACUGUCUCCUGCAAGAAUAGAUUACCCAGCCCCUCGCAUCAGUAGCACCCAGGCUGAGAAACCUUGCCCUAAGGUAAUAAACGGUACAGAGACAAGUGGCUAAGUUUUUAGUUUGGAGUAACCCAGCUACUUCAUGGAGACAAUGCUGACAAGGUAGAUUACCCAAGCCAUGGCUUGGCCAAAGCUCUCAAACUCGCCAUGGGUAUGUGACCUCAGUUUAGUGCUUCUGUGAGAAAAGUGGGGCAGAGUGAAAUGGAAGGAAUGACCUGCUAGAAGUCUUUGUGUAGCACCCUGAAGAACUAGCAUGUAUGUGUCCAGUAGUUACAUGGUUUAUUAAAUAAUCUAUCAAGUUAGUGAUGUUUCUCCUCUGCUCUUUUAAAGAAGUUUUGGACUCAAAGUCCACACGGCUGUUAAUGAGAACUGGGUCCUAGCACAUCUGGAGAAUACCAUGUUUUUGCCAUAAACCCCUGACAUUUUGUGGCUAAUUUUGCCCCCUAGUUUUGCUUUGUCAAAUACAAAAAUAAAUCACUGAAGAUAAAUCACUGAAGAUAGCUUUAGGUAGCUCACUGUGGAGUUGGGCCAGGAGGGAGGUCAGGACCAGGUGCACCAAGGCGUAUACCUGUUUUCAAAGUCUGGUUUUUGGAGGAUUGUAAUUACAAGAAAUUGAGGUCAUAGACUUUUAAAGCUAAAAGCAUUGCUGCUGAAUUACAACCUGGGCUUCCCAUUUUCUAAUGAGGACACUGAAGUGUAAAGAGGCAGAGUGACUUGUCUAAAGCUUUAGGUUUUUAUGUCAGUUUCUGUCAUAAAAUAGUCUCUCUGCCUCUCUCCCAGUCCCUCCUGGAGAAUGUGUGGGCUCAGAAAUGGAAAAGGAAGUGCAGAAGGAGAAAUGGGUGGUGCAUCCCCAAGAUAGUUUAUUUACAUCAGUGACUGGGAUGCUUGUUAAAAAAACAGACUAGUGGCAUUUAUCCCUGUUGAACCAAAUAAAUGUCUCAAGGGUUGGGACCUAAUCUAGCUAGGGAGUAAUCUUGCCUAGGUGGCAGUCAUUCUUCUGGAAGUUUAAGUCCUCCAGCAACACACAAACACAGAGGAUGAAACCUGCUAAUUAGGUGGUUGCCAUUAUCUCCUUGUAGUUCCUUGCAAAUUCUUGAGGUGUUUUUUUUUUUUUUUUUUUUUUAAACUACCUUCUUUAUGCUGCUUGAAAUUCCAACAGUUAGAAAUUUACUCUGGCUUAUUUUUCUAACCUGUUUACCAAUAAGUGAAAAUAGCUUCCUGGAGUUAAGGGGAUUAUUCAUGUAAGUAUGUGAGAUGAUUUUUCUUCCUCAUACCUGGUGCAGAGCAGCUGCCCCCAAUGAAUGGGGUAGCUGGUCAAGGGCCAAGGGAACGUGGUUAGCUCCGGAUUACUGGAGAGGAAGGCAUGCCUCGGGGGGCUUCUAGAAGAUGGGGACACCCGGAGUGGGAAAAGUGGUUUCGUAUGGAAGAUGGAAGGAUGCCGAAGGCAAAGAAAUUACUUCUCUCCCCAAAAUUCAAACUAGGUCCCUUCCAGCCAGUCAGGUUAGCCAGCCGGGCAUCCUGAAGGAGAAAGAAAACUUCCUACUUCCUGGAGCAUAGGCUGGGCCUCUAGCAGAUAGGAUUAUACCGUAAAUGUUGUGAUACUACAGAUUUUAGACACAGUUUUAUGCUUUGGCCUCUAUACUACUACCCUUCUCCACACUUAAAUGGAAGUUUUUUCUCCAGAAAGCAUACUCUCAGCUCCUACCAGGUAUCCAGGCAUUUUUGGUAAGUACCUCCUGGCAAACAAGGGACUGAGAAGGCAGCUGCAGGCCAGUAGCGAAUCUUACUCUACUUUCUUAAGAAACUUAUCACUUAAAAUAACCUCUGUGGCAGCUUUGGAUGAGCAGCAGAUGAAAACCUGUGUUGUUUUUCCCCCAUCAACAUCAGUAUCCAAGCUAAUUCUGUAUCUGUGCCAACCAAGUCCUUCCACUUUGGUCAUUAUGGUUUAGAAACCAUUUUUAAUGGUUGGGGUACCUCGCCCCCCCAGUCGGAGAAAGGUUAUAUUUUUCUUUAAGACAUUUCAUGAUGGUAAGCAUUUCAUGUUUCUGACACAACACAUGUUACAAUGUAAACUCUGGACCAGCCAGUGGAAAGAUCACUUUUCCCGCGUAUAAAAUAAGUCUUACCCUUUAUACUCCUAGCCACCCCACCCCCCCAAUUUCUUCUUUCCAAACUGACCUGCAGUUUUCGUAAAAUAUCAGGCUAGUUUACCUAUUACACAAAAAACACUGGGAUUUUAAAAAAAGAAUCCAUUCAUGCAAAUUGCAAACCCAGGGUGCAACACUGUCCAUAGACUGCGGAGUCGGGGGGAGCUCAGCUGUUGAGUUCUGUGGUCUCGUCAAUCUCAUCCGCAUUUUUGGACAUUUUUUCAUAUUUUCUUUUGAAGAAACCAAGCUGUAAGAUGAUGAUAGAAAAAUUUUACCACCUAUGGGCUAUUUUGUUACAGCAUCUCCCCCUCCCCCGGUUGGCUGCCCACCGGAGCACCUCUGGGAAUCUCUGGGCUCUGGAGAGAGCUUUUCAGAGAGGAAAUCAUUCCCAGGUAGUUGAACUGAAUUCUGAAUUGCAUAAAGUUAAAAUUUUCCAGGGUCUACUUAUUUGCAGCUGAACAAAACAUUCAGGGGUCAGGAUGUAAGGCAGGCUUAAAAAAAAAAAAGUACAUGUAUAUGUGUAUAUAUACAUACAUAUGUGUGUGUACACACACACAGACACACACAUACCUAAGACCGGAGAUAUAAAAUCCUUACUGAUUGUUUUCAAGGACAGAAGGGAGAAUUUGCAAAUGAAUUUGCAUUUUCUUUUCUCUUAGGAUGGAGGAGGUACUAUAUAAAACUUAAGGCUACUGUUUGAUAAGGAAAUUCAAGACAGAUGUCUUUAGGAGCCCAAUGUUUUUAAAUACGAAAAUUUUCUUACCUUCCAUAAGACCGCAACCAGAGCUAAUAGCAAAAGGAUUCCAGCAAUUACACUCCCUACUAUAACCCCAGUUGGAACUUCAGCUUUCUCAUGGGGUUUCAUUAUCAUGAUGGGAAUCUGUAAAUGUAUAUAUGCAAUAGUUAAGUAAUUGUAGCACCAAGAAAAAGUGAGAUGGUCUAGUCAAUUUCUCUAAUUCUGUAAAUGGUGGUCCAGAAAGGUGACAUGACUCACGCAUGAUCACAUUCUUCAGCUAAACGUUGUGCAAUAUAAUUUCUAGAGAAAAUGCUUCUUCACAGUACAGGCAAAGAAUACAAAUUUUCUAGUUUCCUCUCUUUUUGUGUCUGUAUUUAGUGGGUAUGUCACCUCUGACAACCUCAGAUGCUUUAUUUAUGAAAUAGGAACUUCGGUUUCUGGCAUAGUCUCAUCGCCAAGUGACAGCAUUUGGAGUCAGUCUUGGAGAGGGGAGUCGAAGACCAAACAAAUUAACAACCCCAGAUCCCUUGUGACCAAGCAACAGCAGCUUUGUACUAGGAUCCUAAGUAUUCCUUUCACUUAACUCACUCAAGUUAUUUGAUAUGGAUUGUUAAAAAGUGGAAGUAACAGCUCAGGCUGACCUUUUUCAGUGAUAAACUGUCCUUGAGGCUACUUAUGAUUCUUCAUGUCUGCUUUCUGGGAAUCUUUGUGACUUUGUAAUAGAAUGGCUGCCCUAAGAGUUCUAAUGGUAAAACCGUAUCAUCCAUAUAUAAAUAUCUCUCUCUCUCUCUCUCUCUCUCUCUCUCACACACACACACACACACACAUAUAUUUUAUGUAUUUUUUUUUUAAUUGCAGAAAGAAUCACUGCCAUUUCCUCCACAAUUAAGAAUAUUAAGAGCUGCAUUUUGGGGAAAACAAGUUGACAAAACCUAAUUUAUUGAUUGAUUUAACACUGUUACAGCGGCAGAUGUGCUGCUUCUUGUCACAGAAUUUAUGAGUUGGGUGAACUUUGUCUUGCCUUUUGGUAAUUAUUUUUCUUUUGAUUUAUAUUUUCGAGAGCUAAAAUAAGGUUUUACAAUUUAGGAAUAAAGUACCUGAAUUUGUACUUUA